rnacentral:rRNA from 1 species
UACGGGGGGGGGCAAGCGUUGUUCGGAAUUACUGGGCGUAAAGGGCUCGUAGGCGGCCAACUAAGUCGGAUGUGAAAUCCCCAGGCUUAACCUGGGAAUUGCAUCCGAUACUGGAUGGCUUGAAUCCGGGAGAGGGAUGCGGAAUUCCAGGUGUAGCGGUGAAAUGCGCAGAUAUCAGGAGGAACACCGAUGGCGAAGGCAGGUCUCUGGGCCGAUACUGACGCUGAGGAGCGAAAGCAUGGGGAGCGAACAGG